rnacentral:rRNA from 1 species
GAACGCUAGCUACAGGCUUAACACAUGCAAGUCGAGGGGAAACGACAUCGAAAGCUUGCUUUUGAUGGGCGUCGACCGGCGCACGGGUGAGUAACGCGUAUCCAACCUGCCCACCACUUGGGGAUAACCUUGCGAAAGUAAGACUAAUACCCAAUGAUAUCUCUAGAAGACAUCUGAAAGAGAUUAAAGAUUUAUCGGUGAUGGAUGGGGAUGCGUCUGAUUAGCUUGUUGGCGGGGUAACGGCCCACCAAGGCGACGAUCAGUAGGGGUUCUGAGAGGAAGGUCCCCCACAUUGGAACUGAGACACGGUCCAAACUCCUACGGGAGGCAGCAGUGAGGAAUAUUGGUCAAUGGGCGAGAGCCUGAACCAGCCAAGUAGCGUGCAGGAUGACGGCCCUAUGGGUUGUAAACUGCUUUUAUAAGGGAAUAAAGUGAGUCUCGUGAGACUUUUUGCAUGUACCUUAUGAAUAAGGACCGGCUAAUUCCGUGCCAGCAGCCGCGGUAAUACGGAAGGUCCGGGCGUUAUCCGGAUUUAUUGGGUUUAAAGGGAGCGUAGGCCGGAGAUUAAGCGUGUUGUGAAAUGUAGAUGCUCAACAUCUGAACUGCAGCGCGAACUGGUUUCCUUGAGUACGCACAAAGUGGGCGGAAUUCGUGGUGUAGCGGUGAAAUGCUUAGAUAUCACGAAGAACUCCGAUUGCGAAGGCAGCUCACUGGAGCGCAACUGACGCUGAAGCUCGAAAGUGCGGGUAUCGAACAGGAUUAGAUACCCUGGUAGUCCGCACGGUAAACGAUGGAUGCCCGCUGUUGGUCUGAACAGGUCAGCGGCCAAGCGAAAGCAUUAAGCAUCCCACCUGGGGAGUACGCCGGCAACGGUGCAA